rnacentral:rRNA from 1 species
ACUCCUACGGGAGGCAGCAGUGGGGAAUAUUGCACAAUGGGCGCAAGCCUGAUGCAGCCAUGCCGCGUGUAUGAAGAAGGCCUUCGGGUUGUAAAGUACUUUCAGCAGUGAGGAAGGCAGGUACGUUAAUAGCGUGCUUGUUGUACGUUAGCUGCAGAAGAAGCACCGGCUAACUCCGUGCCACGCGAGCCGCGGUAAUACGGAGGGUGCGAGCGUUAAUCGGAUUACUGGCGUAAAGCGCAUGCAGGUGGUUUGUUAAGUCAGAUGUGAAAGCCCGGGCGUCAACCUCCGGAAUUGCAUUUGAAACUGGCAGACUAGAGUACUGGUAGAGGGGGGUAGAAUUUCAGGUGUAGCGGUGAAAUGCGUAGAGAUCUGAAGGAAUACCGGUGGCGAAGGCGGCCCCCGUGGACAGAUACUGACACUCAGAUGCG